UUGGGGGAAGUGGGAGAAAGUGAUACUCUCUAGACAUCGGACCAGAUCUCCUGGUUGAAAAGCAGACGCAACUCACCAGUCAUGAAAAUUUCCUAAUCAGUGUAAAGACCUGAUAAAGCGACAUUACAAGUGAAUGCUCAAAUACUUGGUGAUUCAGCCCCUUUUGUUUGGUUGGAUUCCUGUACUAAGAAAAUAUUUGAAUUCAUCAGUGUGGCUUUGGGUUUAUGGUUUCUCAUUCUUUUCAUUGCUCUUAGAAUUUCAUGAAAAUAGCUUAGAUCAUGUUGCAAACUAAUUCUCAUAACUGGAUAAAGACAAAAUUAUAACUCAUUCAU
rnacentral:lncRNA from 1 species